CCGAGUCUAGUACUCUCCAACCCACUGUGAACUUACCUCAGUUGCUUCGGCGGACCCGCCCCGGCGCCCUCGGGCCCGGGCCAGGCGGCCGCCGGAGGACCACAAACCAUUGAUUACCAUGUGUAUUUCUCUGAGCAGGCGUAAUGCCGAAAAUGAAUUA
rnacentral:misc_RNA from 1 species